rnacentral:lncRNA from 1 species
CCGGGGCCCUGGAGACAUGGCAUUUGUAUGUAAGGUUUGAUGAAUAUCUACAAUGUACCGCACUGCUAGACAGAAGGAUAAAAGGUGUACCAGAUAAGUAAAUAGCCUGCCAUCAUGAAAGUGGGAAACACACGAAAUAAGCAGGAAACAUCACUGAUUCUCACAGCCUAGAGUACUUAGUGACUACUGCCUCUGACCAAAGCAGAAUUCUCUCCUCUGCUGUUUCUGACUUGUGCCAAUAUGAAGAACUCCUUGGAGCCUAUCAUCUCAUCAGCGCCAACUAUAGUCCAUGAUGAAGGUUUGGGAAUGAUAUGGGCGAAACAAGUCAUGUUAAUUGGAAGACUCUUCGAGACAAUUGGCAGAACAACCACACCUCUGAUUACCCCAGCAAUUACAACCUGUGAAGAUGCUCCCUGGAGAUAUAUUCCAGACUGAAACCUCAGAACAUUGGCAUUGUCCAUAGACACUGAUACACUUCCAGGGUGAAAGGUGGGCCUAUGCUUUAGGCAGACAGGGG